GUGAAUACCUACUUUUCUUUUUUCCAUAAUACUUAUCACCAUGUGACAUAUUAUAGCCUUUAUUUCUCAGAUGUUAUAUAUUGUCUUUCUCUCCUGUUACCACUAAAAAUAAACACCAAGGAGGCAGGGAUUUUGUGUGCUUUUUUCACUGCUGUGUCUCUAGCAACUAGAACAGUGCCUGGCACAUAACAGACACUCAAUAAAUACUAGUUGAAUAAAUAAAUGAAUGGCUCUUUCUACUUUACCUCCCUUCCAGUCUAAGCUUUGUCUUCAUCUUUGUUGCCUCAUGGCUACAUGAUGGCUGCUGCUUUCCAGACAUCAUGUCCAUGUCCAAGGCAAAAAGAAAUUGGGGAAGAGUAGUGCCAGACACAUGGGCCCUCUUUAUCACAUAAGCAAAACUUUCUCAGGAGUCCCAAGCUGACUUUAGUUUAUAUCUAUUUGGCUUGGGUUAUGGCACAAGCUACCAGCAGCAGUGAGAGAAACUAGGAAAGCAAGUAGGUAACUGGGCACAUUGCUGCCCUGAGCAAGAUCGAUAAGAAGAGAAGGGCUGGACAUGGUAUCACUAACUGGGUCUACUGUGAAACUGCUAAAGGAAGAACCCAAACUUUGGGAACAAAAUGGGAAAUGCACCACCCUCUCCUAGAAUCAUCUCUGCCUCACAUCCCUUCAUUUCCCAGAUGACCUGCCCUUGGCCACUGAAGGAACAUGAAAGGCACAGGCAGCCUGUGGCCUGAGGCUCAGAGAGUGCAACAGAGACCUUAGUGUCUGCUCCCUUGAAGCUCACCGGAAGGCCAGCAUAUAAUAGCGUUCAAAUAAUUGCAUCUCUCAGGCUUGCAAGCACGCUCAGCAUUGUUCAGGCAAACUGUGCCUUCCUGUGCCUCUGAACUUGGUCACCGCAGAUCAGCCCUGCCCAGUCUUUGGGUGCUCCAGACUGCACACUGAUGAAGAAACUUUGGCAACUGUUAAAUUGCCUGCAGAUGGGUCCAGUCACGCAGAAACAUUCAUGCAGUGUCCUCCAGACCCUUUGUGUGCUUCCCCGGAUACAAGAGAGUGGGACCUGGACCCCCCCUCUGCCCAGCAGGCUUAUGCUGCUCUACAUCCUCUGGGGAAGUGACUGCAGCUCAUUUGAACCUAGAAGCAACCAUGUGAUUCUCUCCCAGGCCGUGGUUCUCCUGACACAUGUAGCAGAAGCCAUUCCAGGAAGAAAAGGUGCCUGGACCCUGGAUAUUAGGGCCUGAAGCAAGGCAUCACCAGGAAAUUCUCUUCAGUUAUUUUGGCUCUGACCUCGAUUCCAUCAUGAUGCUUGUCACCACAUUCUUCACUAGGCCACUGCACCAAGGAGCACACAUGGAGCACAGAAUAGCCUUUAAAAAUAAUAAGGUGAAAUGGAUGAGGUGAGAAAGGCCCGGACCACACCGAGAAUCGAAUGCAUGGUAAACAUAGGGCCACGGGGAAGUCUUGACACCGCUCGGCAAGAUCUCUCACCGAUGGAUCCACCCUCUAUGUUUUCUGAUUGGACACAUUUCCUGAGAUGGGAAGGAUCAUGCUAUUGGCUGAGGCUGCAUCAGGGGAGUAAUAUUUACUCUGGAAAAUCUGGGAGAGGGUGUCCCAGUCUGUGAACUACCCAGACCCCCACGUUCACAGAAUACUAGGAUGAGGAGGAUCCCAAGGAACACCUGCAUCAACUCUCAUGUUCUACAAGGGAAGAAGCCAGGUCUCAGGGACAUUAAAUCACUUUCCCAAAUGUACCAAGCUAGUUAGAGUGAAGAAAGAUCCUAUUUAUCCCAGUUCCCAGUGAAAUGCCAUUUCUGCUCCAUACCUUCUCUUCUCCAUGUGUCCUAUGCUCUCGCACUUUUUGUGCUGCUUAGCGUUUUGCCCAGAGGUGUGCCAGAGAUUAUUGCUCAUUCUUUCUCCUUCCACGGUCACAACACCUCCCUGGGCUGGUGUCACCUCUUACUUUGCAAUUCAAAACGUUGAAGAAGGUGCGACCUGUCUAGAUUUUCGUGUAGCCUUCUCUCCUGAUUGCUGUUUCAGAUAACACAUUCAGGGUGUUGGUAAAUAGCUGUGAAUCAGAGCCUCGGGGACAGCCUGGUUUGGUGUGUGGAUAGUCUGGCUAAUGUCAUAGCAGUCCCUGCCUUAAAUAUCAAUGUCCGAGGAAGGUGGGAUGCUGUUUCCAAAAGAUUGAUUUGCACUUCUGCUAAUAUAUGGCUGAGUGUUCUUUAAAAUGGAGUAUUCUGCUUGCCCUCUGCCACCUUCACAACACCCUAAAUCUUUGGAAGAACGUGCUUCUUGUUGGACCUACAAGUGGGGAGCAUCUUGCCUUGUCCGGCCUGUCCCAGUUUCUCGGGAACCCUUGAGGUUUCUGUCCCUGUUCCACAUACUUAGCCCCAUCUCCAGGCUUCCUGUCCAUCAGCCUGAGAGACCAUACUCUAGGAGUCUUAAGUGCUGAGUUCCCUAGUGGGAACUCACUGGACUGCAACGCCCCAAGUCCCUCCUUCUCUCUCUGUGCCUUGGGAUGGGCUUUGUGCCAGCUGUGCCCAUCCUGCUGUUCUGCAGCUUGGUGCCCCUUCCUAACGUGAUGGGCCUCUGCUAAGGUCAUGUUCUUUCACCAACCCAGGGUCCUUCCAGCUCCUCCACCAAAACAGUGCCCUGGUUGUCCUCACUUGUCCCAUCUUCAGCAGGGAGGCACUUGAUUCUGUGGCAUUUGGCACUGCUCACUGGGCUUUCUUUUCUUUUCACUGUAAGACUCAUGCAUUAGAUCUGUCUUGCUAUAGUCCUAACAAUGUCUCUGUGUCCCCACUCCCAUUCAACUCUUGCCAUUCUCCAGCCAUUGCUCUUGAAGAAUGUGGGACUAAUAACCCUGGGUAGGGUCACAAGGCCCUGCAGAGGUGAUGCCAUGAAGUUGCCUACACAGAACUGCCUCCCUGCUAAGAGUUCCAGGAUCAAAUUCUUCUAGGUGCCUGCUUGGGUGGGUCCUCAUCCCCACCCCUGCCCAGGGCACCAUCUGUGGGAGAUUAGGAGGUAAUCACUGUCUACCCCUCAGACACCACGUGCUGCAUGACUGUGUCCUGAGGCAGCCACAUGGCUGCCAGCUCUGAAGGUCCUGAGAUCCCCAUUCUGAGGCCCUUCGCUGACUCACUGCUCUCAUUCUUCUUUCUCUGUCCACUCUCAGGGCAACUACAUCCACACGGUGAAGGCAGGGCCUGUGUAGUGGAUGCCAGGCUGUCUUCACGUACAUUUCUCUUUCUCUUAAGCAUCCUGGACCAUAAAGCCCUAGUGUGCUGCUCCUACCUUGCCAGUAGGACUCCUGUCUCAGCUCCGUCUCCUGAAGACUGACCCUACAGGAGAGAUACAAGCAUCUCCUGUUACCUGUGCCCAGAUGGUCCUUAAAAAAUCAUUUUCCUAUUUGAUAAACAUAAAAAUGUUAUGUCUGACCAGCCAACAGGCUCUAGACCUGAGCCAUCUAGGAAGAUGAGGCCCCACCCCUAACUGGUGCCCUCUUUGCAGAUUCACUGAUGCAGAUUCUUGUCAGCAGAGAUAACUUGUCAAAUUUUACUUUCAUCAAGAGAAAUAUAAUUAGAGUGAUGUACUUUUCAUUUCUAAAUUAUGAAAUUCUAUUAUAAUGUGAAAUAUGUAUUUUCAAAGUAUACAUACAUUUCCUUUUAGAAAUGUUGAUAUACCUCCCUAGGAACUUUCCUUCCUUUUGUUAGAAAAUCAAUGCUGUAAAAUGUUAGGGAACAAAAGAAAGGUAUGGAGGAAGAUCAACCUUGUGGGACCCAGGAAGAAGCAGGGAAGAAGAAUCCCACUAUGAAACUACCUUUCCAGGACAAAUAAUGUUCUCAGAAAUGGGCAUGUACUUUGUCUCCAGGCAGAUAGCCUGCCCAUUACAUUUUUGUUUUGUUUUGUUUUGUUUUGUUUUGUUUGAGACGGAGUCUCACUCUGUCACCUAGGCUGGAGUACAGUGGCACGAUCUCGGCUCACUGCAGCCUCCACCUCCUGGGUUCAAGCGAUUCUCCUGCCUCAGCCUCCUGAGUAGCUGGGACUACAGGUGCCUGCCACCAUGCCCAGCUAAUUGUUGUAUAUAUUUUUUAGUAGAGAUGUGGUUUCACCAUGUUGGCCAGGCUGGUCUCGAACUCUUGACUUCAAGUGAUAUGCCUACCUCGACCUCCCAUUACGUUUUAAAUAGCACAGCUCUCUGCUACGUUGUAUAUUUCCCAAAUAAAAAGUUUUCAGCUCAAUCUCUAGAAAAGCUCUGCUUUAUCAACUUUCUGUUUCUCAUGCCAUGAGUUGACUAUGACUCUCUCACGCACCUGCCAAUCAGUUUUAUCACUUGCCAUUAGGAGGUCCUUGGGAAGCAAUGGGAAAGCUCCCCAGUCCAGAGAAACUAACUUCAGGCAUGUGUCUGAACUCAGAGGCUCCAACCAAGAGCAGGGAAGGGCCUUGUGGGAGGUGAGUGCAUUUUGGAUAUGGGGAGCAAGGCUGGUGGGAUUCUGCUAACGAAACUGAUCACAGGUGACAGGGCUCUCCUUUGAACUUGAUUAUUUUUAAAGUUCACCUCUCCCUGAUCCAUAACGAGGUCUGGUGAGACUUGUCAUAGUCCCAGAAUUAUUUCGAUCAUUCCAGCUCAGCCGAAACAAUGAGAGAACAUCAAUAUGGCAACUCCUCAGAUGUCUGGGAAGAGGGAUCAUCACCCAGGCCUGGGAGCUCUGCGCAGUUUUGUCUGCCUUGGCUCCAAAGUGCUCUUUGCCCUUAACACUGCACCACUGUACAGAUUCACACAGCUGGCACUAGCUCCACAGUGGCUAAGGUUGUGCUGCUUAGGACUGACCUGGAGGAGAGGGGAGAAAAAGAUGGUAUUAGUGGCUCCCUUUCAUGUCAACAGGUUCACUGAAAAAGGAGCAAAGGGCUUAGUCAUGUUUUAAUGCUCUCAAAGCUUACUAUGUAUCCAGGA
rnacentral:lncRNA from 1 species